rnacentral:rRNA from 1 species
UACAGAGGUCCCGAGCGUUGUUCGGAUUCAUUGGGCGUAAAGGGUGCGUAGGCGGUCUGCUAAGUUUGAUGUGAAAUCCCGGGGCUCAACCCUGGAAUUGCAUUGAAUACUGGUGGACUAGAGUACUGGAGAGGAAACUGGAAUUUACGGUGUAGCAGUGAAAUGCGUAGAGAUCGUAAGGAAGACCAGUGGCGAAGGCGAGUUUCUGGACAGUAACUGACGCUGUGGCACGAAGGCCAGGGGAGCAAACGGG